AACGAACGCUGGCGGCGUGCCUAACACAUGCCAGUCGAACGGGACCUCCGGGCCUAGUGGCGCACGGCGACGUAACAAGGGGGAACCUGCCCUUAGGUUCGCAAUAACUCCCCGAAGGGGGUGCUAAUACAGGUGAAUGUCUUCGGACCAAAGAUCUAUCGCCUUGGGAUGGGCCCGCGUUGGAUUAGCUGGUUGGUAGGGUAAUAGCCUACCAAGGCGAGGAUCCAGAGCUGGUCGGUGAGCAUGACUAGCCACACUGGGACUGAGACCCGGCCCAGACUCCUACGCAAGGGAGCAGUGGGGAAUAUUGUACAAUGGGCGAAGGCCUGAUCCAGCCAUGCCGGGGAAGAGAUGAAGGGGGUAGUGUUGUAAAGCUGUUUUACCCGGGAUGAUAAUGACGGUACCGGGAGAAUAAGCUCCGGCUAACUACGUG
rnacentral:rRNA from 1 species